UGUGCAUCAAAGGACACUAGCGAGAGAGUGAAAAGACAACCCACAGAACGGGAGAAAAGAUUUGCAAAUCAUACAUCUAAAAUCAUAUAUAAAAAUCAUAUAUCUGGUUUAAAAUCCAGAAUAUAUAAAGAAGUCCAACAACUCAACCACAAAAAGGCGAAAACCCAAUUUUACAGUGGGCAACAAACUUGAAUAGACAUUUCUCCGAAGAAGAUAUACAAAUGGUCAAUAAGCACAUGAAAAGUUGCUUGACAUCGUUAGUCAUUAGGGAAAUGCAAAUCAAAACCGCAAUGAGAUGUCACUUCACACCAAUUAGGAUGGCUAUAAUUUUGGACAAUAGCAGUUAUUGGAGAGGGUGAGAAGAAAUCGGAACACUUGCACAUUGCUGUUGAGAUCAUAACAUGGUGCAGCCGCUGUGGAAGCAGCCUGGCAGUUCCUCAAAAAGUUACACAUCGAAUUUCCAUAUAAGCCAGCAAUUCCGCUCCUAGGUAUAGACCCAAAAGAUUUAAAAAGAGGCACUCAAACACAUGCUUGUCCAGGAGCGUUCGUAGCGGCACUGUUCACAACAGCCACAAGGUGGCAACAACCCAAGUGUCCAUCCACAGAGGAACGGAUAAACAAAUUGUGGUCUAUCCACAUAGUGGAAUAUAAUUCAGCCAUAAAAAGGAAUGAAAUGCAUGGGCUACAGCAUGGAUGAGCCUUGAGGGCCCGUGAACCCGCCCUGGCAUAGCUGAGGGCUGGGGGGCGCCGGGCAGCAGCUGGGCAUCUAGGUGUGCCCGGGGGAUGCACUGAAGAGAGGAGAGCAGGUGGAGGAUCGCACUGGGGUCAGGGCAGCUGAGGCGGACACUGUCGCUGUCCGAGCCGGCAACCAUUCCCAAUUCCUCCUCCCUUGCUGCUUCAUCACUGCUGAACAGUGGAGCCUGUUCCAGCCCCCACGCUGGCCAAUGGGACUUAAGGGGAAGUCUGCUGGGGGCUCCGAAACCUUUAGUUCUCCUGACAAAAGAGAAAGCCUUGGCUGGCCAGCACCACCCAGGGCUCCCUGACUUUGCCUCCAACACUCUGUCAAGUCUGCAGCUGCAAUAGCCAUUGAGCAAAGACAGGGGGCAAGCAUGAGACCCAAAAGCCAGCAGCCUGAGUAGGACAGUGCAGAAGUAGAAGCAUGGGCCCUCCACGACACACCAGCCAGCACCCGCCCCCUCCAGACUUCCCGUCACCGAGAACAUCCCCGGCCGAGCCAGAGGGGGAAGCCGACGCUCAGAGCAGCUCUCUCGCCGGAGGUCACCGCCCGGGUCUUGACCAGGAAGCAUCCCCGUGCUCACUCCUGGGCCCCACAGGAGGAGACUGGAUUCCCGCUCAGCGGAUGCCGGGGAGCCUCAUGGAGCAACAAGGCUCCAGGUCCUUCUUCCCCUCCCUGCUCUGCGUCCUGCAGCAAACAGCCUGGACAGGCCCAGCGCAAGGCAGAAACUCCAUCAGCAAAGCUGAUUCUAGGGCCCUGCUCUUUCAGAGCUGUUCAGAGUCAAAAUGUCCCCGUUACCAGGCAACGCUGCUCAGCUGGAUUUAGAACACUGGAAAGCCUGGAACCCACCAUGGCUGCAAUAUCUGAGCGAACGGGGAGGGAGGGGGCGCUGCUGCUGGCUCGGUGGUCCAGUUGGGCCCAGGUGAAAGGCUGGGAUAAGAGCUGCCUCUAGGCUCUGAGCACUCACUUCCCUCGGGCCAAGAGUAGGGUGAGUGCCCUGUCGCCCUCAAUCCUCAACAUUGCCGUCUAGCUUGAUACCAUUGUUCUCACUUUACAAAUAAGGAAACUGAGGCCCGUGAAGUCACACCCCUGGCCCAAGGGCCCACAGCAGGGCUGACCCUUGGGCCACGCCAGGAUCGUCCUCAGCAAGUUCCAGCCAGUGGACCGCAAGGAGACUGACACGUCGCUUCCGAGCUGAGCCAGUUGAGAGCUGCCGGUGGGAGACGGAGAGAGCUGCUCCAUCUCAGUCCUCCCGACCACACGGACCCCGGGGGCCAUGUGCUCUAAAUGGAGGAGGGCUGCCCGUCCUCACGAGCCUUUAGGUGAGUGAGGAGCCAGCCUGGAUGGCGUUUAACCACCGAGACUCCAGGUUUGUCUGUUAUGGCAGCUGGUGUUAAAUACCCCGACACAUUCAGACCCCAGAGUUAGAAGAGAGCAAAGCAACUUGGUAUAUAGGAAGUGAUGGAAUGUCAUGCUUUCAAUAAAAAGUAAGCUGGC
ensembl:lncRNA